CUGGCGGCUCGCCCACAGUGUCAGUCUAAGCAGGGCUAGAGGGGUGGUGCUCCUCCUCCAUCGGGCAGACGAGUUUCCAGGACGGCCACUAGAGCCUCGGAAAUCGGACACUUUCCCAGGGAAGGUGGCGGCAAGCUGCGACCCAUCCCGGGAACACGGAGCGCGCGUCGGGAACAGGAGAGCCCGUUUGCUCUCCGUCUGGAUGCUACGCCUGCUUGUCACAGGGCCGCAGGGGACACUCGGAGCCGGUAGGCACGCCCAGUGGAUGCGCUGUUGGCAGGGGCGAAGAGACCUCGUCCACCUGCAGGGAGGGAACGUGCAGACUCCACACGGACAGACACCCCGGUCCAGACUCGAACCCAGGAGGCCGGAGCUGUGAGGCACCUGGGUGAUCCGGGGGCCCAACAGCAACAGGGUGGUGGAGAAAAAAACGACAACUGCAUGAGGCUACUGUCAGCUGCACACCGGAGAGAAGUGCGCUUUGAAAGGCACUUCGCUUAGGGAUCUCUCAGUCCUGAGUUAGAUCUUUACCCUUGAUCCAACUGGGCCCCCUGUGGGAUGGAAAAACACAGAUGGAUCCAGACAGAUUCCCUGCCGGGAGUCAGGGAUCUGAGAGCGCUUCGCCUACAGGAGGGGUCCCAAAUUCCCCCGCACAGCUCUGCAAUGGAGAGUGUGGGGAGCAUCUGGUUGGCCAGGCCCAGGAAAUCAGUUGAUGACUUGGUUACUUGAUUGCACACUUCCCCCGAAGAGCCCUCCAGGAUCCGAACCGGAGAGCGCCGAUUUCAGCUGUCCACAGCUGCCCUGCAGGGGGCUGGAAGAUGGGGCCGCCGGGCAGCCGUGUGAACGAGGUGUUGCCAAUUAAGUAGAAGAGGUGGGAGCGUUUAAGAGGGGAAGACGAGACCCGAGAGAUUGGACACGGGGAACGGAGACAGUGGAGUGCUGUGGGGGUUUUGGGACAUGUUGUGUCUUUUUGUUUUCAGUUAGUGUGGAUGGGUGUAGACCGGAAUACUUUUUUUUUUUGGUAGGGCCUUAUUGUUUAGGCACAACCACCGUUCCAGUUGUCUCUAGUUUGUUUUUCGUUUAUAGUCGGUUCUGCUUGGAAUACAAAUGUUGACUUCCGGUUCCCUGGAUUUGCAAUGAUAAUAAAGUUGAUUUGUUUUCCCAGGGGAAUCCAAUCUCCCGGGUGUCCUUUUUCUUUUAGGUUGCAGCUUUUUUCCCCCCUCCACCAAAAAUGACAACAGUAACCCAUUAACAUUCAUACUGGUUUAAGCAAUAAAAAAAAACCUAGUCCUUACCUAGCUGUCAUUAAUCAUACUGAAGAACAGU